rnacentral:tRNA from 1 species
UGGCUCAGAUGGUAAAAGCGUCUGCCUACAAUGCAGGAGACCAGGGUUCGAUCCCUG